AUUGAACGCUGGCGGCAUGCUUUACACAUGCAAGUCGAACGGCAGCGCGGGCUUCGGCCUGGCGGCGAGUGGCGAACGGGUGAGUAAUGCAUCGGAACGUGCCCAGUAGUGGGGGAUAGCCCGGCGAAAGCCGGAUUAAUACUGCAUACGACCUGAGGGUGAAAGCGGGGGACCGAAAGGCCUCGCGCUAUUGGAGCGGCCGAUGUCGGAUUAGCUAGUUGGUGGGGUAAAGGCUUACCAAGGCGACGAUCCGUAGCUGGUCUGAGAGGACGACCAGCCACACUGGGACUGAGACACGGCCCAGACUCCUACGGGAGGCAGCAGUGGGGAAUUUUGGACAAUGGGGGCAACCCUGAUCCAGCCAUGCCGCGUGCGGGAAGAAGGCCUUCGGGUUGUAAACCGCUUUUGUUCGGGAAGAAAUCCUCUGGGCUAAUACCCCGGGGGGAUGACGGUACCGGAAGAAUAAGCACCGGCUAACUACGUG
rnacentral:rRNA from 1 species